UGGGGAAUAUUGCACAAUGGGCGCAAGCCUGAUGCAGCAACGCCGCGUGAACGAUGAAGGUCUUCGUAUCGUAAAGUUCUGUUGCAGGGGAAGAUAAUGACGGUACCCUGUGAGGAAGCCCUGGCUAACUACGUGCCAGCAGCCGCGGUAAUACGUAGGGGGCUAGCGUUAUCCGGAUUUACUGGGCGUAAAGGGUGCGUAGGUGGUCUUUCAAGUCGGUGGUUAAAGGCUACGGCUCAACCGUAGUUAGCCUCCGAAACUGGAAGACUGGAGUGCAGGAGAGAAAAGUGGAAUUCCUAGUGUAGCGGUGAAAUGCGUAGAGAUUAGGGGGAACACCGGUGGCGAAAGCGGCUUUUUGGACUGCAACUGACACUGAGGCGCGAAAGCGUGGGGAGCAAACAGG
rnacentral:rRNA from 1 species